rnacentral:tRNA from 1 species
UAGUUCAGUUGGUAGAGCAUGGCGCUUGCAACACCAGGGUUGUGGGUUCGAUUCCUAU